rnacentral:rRNA from 1 species
AGUGAACGCUGGCGGUAGGCCUAACACAUGCAAGUCGAACGGCAGCACAGUAAGAGCUUGCUCUUACGGGUGGCGAGUGGCGGACGGGUGAGGAAUACAUCGGAAUCUACUUUUUCGUGGGGGAUAACGUAGGGAAACUUACGCUAAUACCGCAUACGACCUACGGGUGAAAGCAGGGGAUCUUCGGACCUUGCGUGAUUGAAUGAGCCGAUGUCGGAUUAGCUAGUUGGCGGGGUAAAGGCCCACCAAGGCGACGAUCCGUAGCUGGUCUGAGAGGAUGAUCAGCCACACUGGAACUGAGACACGGUCCAGACUCCUACGGGAGGCAGCAGUGGGGAAUAUUGGACAAUGGGCGAAAGCCUGAUCCAGCCAUACCGCGUGGGUGAAGAAGGCCUUCGGGUUGUAAAGCCCUUUUGUUGGGAAAGAAAAGCAGCAGGUUAAUACCCCGCUGUUCUGACGGUACCCAAAGAAUAAGCACCGGCUAACUUCGUG